rnacentral:ncRNA from 1 species
CACCGCCCGUCACACCAUGGGAGUCAGUAACGCCCGAAGUCAGUGACCCAACCGUAAGGAGGGAGCUGCCGAAGGUGGGACCGAUAACUGGGGUGAAGUCGUAACAAGGUAGCCGUAUCGGAAGGUGCGGCUG